rnacentral:rRNA from 1 species
AGCGGAGGAAAAGAAACUAACAAGGAUUCCCCUAGUAACUGCGAGUGAAGCGGGAAAAGCUCAAAUUUAAAAUCUGUUAGCCUUUGGUUGACCGAGUUGUAAUUUAGAGAAGCGUUAUCCGCGUUGGACUGUGUAUAAGUUUCCUGGAAGGGGACAUCAUAGAGGGUGAGAAUCCCGUCUUUGACACAGACUACCAAGGCUUUGUGAUGCGCUCUCGAAGAGUCGAGUUGUUUGGGAAUGCAGCUCAAAAUGGGAGGUAAAUUCCUUCUAAAGCUAAAUAUUGGCGAGAGACCGAUAGCGAACAAGUACCGUGAGGGAAAGAUGAAAAGAACUUUGGAAAGAGAGUUAAACAGUACGUGAAAUUGCUAAAAGGGAAACGCUUGAAGUCAGUCGCGUUGGCUGGAAAUCAACCUUGCUCUUGCUUGGUGUAUUUUCUAGUCGACGGGUCAACAUCAGUUUUGAUUGCUGGAUAAAGUGUGAGGGAAUGUGGCAUCUUCGGAUGUGUUAUAGCCCUUGCUCGUAUACAGCGGUUGGGACUGAGGAACUCAGCACGCCGCAAGGCCGGGUCUUCGGACUACGUUCGUGCUUAGGAUGUUGGCAUAAUGGCUUUAAUCGACC